UACAGAGGGGGCAAGCGUUGUUCGGAAUUACUGGGCGUAAAGGGCGCGUAGGCGGCUUCGUAAGUCGGGUGUGAAAGCCCCGGGCUCAACCUGGGAACGGCACUCGAUACUGCGGAGCUCGAGUACGAGAGAGGGGGGUGGAAUUCCAGGUGUAGCGGUGAAAUGCGUAGAGAUCUGGAGGAACACCGGUGGCGAAGGCGGCCCCCUGGUUCGAUACUGACGCUGAGGUGCGAAAGCGUGGGGAGCAAACAGG
rnacentral:rRNA from 1 species